GCCAUCUACGGACACAAAGACGUGUUAUGGAGACAAGGAACACAAAGCACCUGAACCCAGUUUUGUCUUUUGAGAACAUGGCCAGUGUCUGGUAUCAGGUAAGAGGAGUUUCCCCCUUUGAUAGUCAUAGGCACAAUUUAAUUAAUUGUUAAUUAAUGGUUAAUAAAUAAAGGUUAGUCAGGACUCUUUAGAAAUGCAGUUCUAACACCUACAGUGUUUUCUUACAUCUUUCCCAACUACCAUACUAUUACUAUGAAAAAAAAAUCCCAUAUUCAGGCAGUCUCUCUGUGUGGAGGAAGUGACACUGUGGCACAAAAGCUGGAACUGAUGCCUGUAUUACGAGUCUCAUUAAAAGGUACAUGUUUCAAAUAAUAUCCUCCAUCAUAGGUUCGCAAUUUUGCUCCUUACUGCAUUCUGGAGAAGCACCUCAGAAUAAUUAACAGGAUUACAUCCAAAACCUGUUAAGUAUAACAUGAUAAGCUAUGAGGGAAGAAUCUGUUUCACUGGACAGAGAGGAGGUGUCUCUGUAACCUCCUCAGAGCUCUGCCUUCUUACCCCCCUUGCCCCUGUUGGAGGUAGGAAAACCCCUGGAUCCACCUGAUGGUGUGUCUGCAGCUGGUGUCUGUGGUAACUCUUGUCCUUGGUUCAGGUCAUGUUC